rnacentral:misc_RNA from 1 species
GGCUGAUAGAUGUGCCAUGCCUCUAACCUUUAUUCCACAAAACUAUAUAUAUCAUAAACAAAAAUUCUAAUCCCCAUCAAACAAAUCACCUUGAUUAUUUCAUCCACUACAGCCCUCAACCUCACUUGUUAUAGGAGACUUCUCCGGUGAGUAAUUGCUCUCGGCGCUUCUUGUUGAGAUCGUACAACUUAUCCAUCGGAGGAAGGCACUCUUUGACAACUUGCACAUCCAGAACAAGAUGGAACCAGGCCUUCAUCAAUGGCAGGCUCGCUUCAUUCACCACACUCACUCCAGCAAUAUCCUCGAGCAUCGGCAGCAUGUAUGCAAACCAACCUACUACAAUGUCGAGGUACCCGAAGGAAUCGCCACCGAAGAACCUCUUCCCCUCGAGGGCCUUUUCCAGAGUCUUCAGAAGCUCUUGAGACUCCUUCACUGCCUUCUGUAGCUCUUCUCCUGCUGUGGAGUAUCCUGUAAAAAGUGCAGGCAGAAUCUUUUCUUCUGCAAACCUUGCCCAGAAACGAGCCUGUGCCCUCUCGUAGGGAUCUUUAGGCAUGAUGGGGUUGCAGUCGGGCCAGGUCUCGUCGAUGUACUCGAUGAUCACCAGUGACUCGGCCACCGCUCGGCCGUCGUGGACAAGGGUGGGCACCUUCUUGGUGAUGGGGUUGUAGUGGAGCAGCUCCGGGCUCUUGUUGUGGGGCAAGUCCUCGUUCACAUACUCGUAUUCCACGCCCUUCAACCUCAGAGCCCAUUCCACCCUGAGGGCGAAGGGGCUCGCCCACAUCCCGAACAAUUUCAC